rnacentral:lncRNA from 1 species
GCACUAUACUGUGUGUUACACCUUCCAACUAAAAUUUUGUAUCCAAAAGAUAGAGUGGAUAUUAUUUUAUUUUUUAUUUUUUUACUCUCUAGGAUUUAGACCACCUGCUUAUUUUUGAGGAAUUGCCUAACCCACAAAUUCUGGCAAAGAACAGAGCUCACCUUCUAGUAUGGAAGCUGAAAAAAGGAGAUACUCAUUUUCCAAGCCUCUUUUGCAGACCAAUUACAUCAGUAUCCAUGGGAGUGGAGCCCAG